rnacentral:rRNA from 1 species
CCUGGCUCAGGAUGAACGCUGGCGGCGUGCCUAAUACAUGCAAGCAGAACGCUGAAGCUUGGUGCUUGCACCGAGCGGAUGAGUUGCGAACGGGUGAGUAACGCGUAGGUAACCUGCCUCUUAGCGGGGGAUAACUAUUGGAAACGAUAGCUAAUACCGCAUAAAAGUCGACAUAGCAUGAUGUUGACUUGAAAGGUGCAAUUGCAUCACUAAGAGAUGGACCUGCGUUGUAUUAGCUAGUUGGUGAGGUAACGGCUCACCAAGGCGGCGAUACAUAGCCGACCUGAGAGGGUGAUCGGCCACACUGGGACUGGGACACGACCCAAACUCCUGCGA